UGCAAUUAUGUGUAGAACUGAAAUGUACCUUUGGCUAUUUUUUUUUUCCGCCGUUUUCGUCGUCCUAUAUCUUUGUUUCGUCGCUUCGUUUGUUGCGCCAAUAGGCGGCGCUUUCGCUCUUAUCGCUUCGGCUGCCGUUCUCUUCGUCUGCUCGAGCCGCUUUCUUUGAACGUGCACGUUUUUUUUCUUUUUUUUAAUGCUCCGCAGUUAAAAAUUUUCCUUCUGUACCCACGAACGUUCCCGCAAUGUUGCAAAAACUGAGCAAAGUGCACAAAGUGGGCUCCGUGACUGUGUAAUGCGGCAACUCGGGGAGCACCACAAGGGCCAAAUUUUUCCGUUUCCCAGCGGACGAGAGAUGCGACAUCUGUUGAAAUUACGCUAAAUGGCGACACCUAGCGCAGCUCACAUGAGAACAAAUGUGCAAUGGCUACCGCUUCUGUCCGGACCACUGCACAGGAAGAGUCUACGCCGACCCGGCAAAAGCAAGACUUUUGUGGUCAGCUCUGCCCACUGUUGGAGUGAAAUAGCUGUCCCUGAUCAAUGAAGCGCAACUACAUUAAUUCUGCAGGGAAUCCGUAGUUUUGACACGCACUGAGCAUACCUGGUCCAUGGCUUCAUUGUCC